rnacentral:rRNA from 1 species
AUGAAGAUACCUCUUAAGAAUAUAAUCUUUGCAUGGUAUCUUCGUCGCGGAGUCAUUCUUACUGAAGAUAACCUUAUUAAGAGGAAUUGGCCUGGAAGUCCGCAAUGUGUCUUUUGUCACCAUGAUGAGACAAUAAAACAUUUAUUCUUCCAAUGUAAAUUGGCUCGUUCUAUAUGGUCAGUCAUCCAAAUAGCUUCUGGCUUGUAUCCUCUUUGUAGUGUUGCUAAUGUAUUUGGCUACUGGUUACAUGGGAUUGAUUACAGGUUUAGAACUUUUUUCAGGGUGGGAGCGCUUGCCGUUAUUUGGUCGCUUUGGCUAUGUAGAAAUGAUAAGGUUUUAACAAUAAAAGUACUUCUCUGA